GCAUAUAGGUCAGUUGGUAGAGCAUGAAACUCUUCAUCUCAGGGUUGUGGGUUCGAGUCCCAUGUUGGGCA